UCUGGACCGACGGGACAACGGGAAGCAUGUUCUUUUUCUCUUUCUUGUCUGUCUCUUCCUUUCUUUCUUUCCUUCUUUUUUUUUUUUUUCCUUGCUACCGCAGGCCCUAACCCGGGAGCUCUCUUGGGCCUACAUGCUCUCCAAUCACAGUCCCGGGACAGGCUGAAGGUCCCCUGGCAGUCACUGGGGUGUGAGCGAGAUUUCUAUGACAAGAUUUCUGCCUGUUGGUCAUUCCAUGCCAGAAGACGUAGCUCAGGGUCUUCCAGUGUUGAUAAGAUAGCAGUGAUGUGACCUCACAGUGGAGAGCAGAGUGGAUACAAACUCCUUUCGGCUCUCAGGGCUGGCAAGGCAGCAAGGAGCCACUGGAACACAGCCUAGGAGAGUCGAAGAGGGCCUGAAACAGGAAUGUAGAGUGGCAGCCAGCGCAGUGGAGAGACUGAGAUGGAGGUAUAAAGCAGCACUCCCCUCAUCAGCGCUGACUUCCCAUGCUUUCAGCUACCCACAGCCCAGUUAUUAAAUAGAAGUCCAUAAAUAAUUCAGAUUUGUGUACGAUUAGCUGGGUAUGGUGACUCAUGUAAUGCCAGCCCUUGGAAGAGACAGGGAGACUACCAGCCUUGGC